GGCUAAUACAUGCAAGUCGAGCGGACCGACGGGAGCUUGCUCCCUUAGGUCAGCGGCGGACGGGUGAGUAACACGUGGGUAACCUGCCUGUAAGACUGGGAUAACUCCGGGAAACCGGGGCUAAUACCGGAUGCUUGAUUGAACCGCAUGGUUCAAUCAUAAAAGGUGGCUUUUAGCUACCACUUACAGAUGGACCCGCGGCGCAUUAGCUAGUUGGUGAGGUAACGGCUCACCAAGGCGACGAUGCGUAGCCGACCUGAGAGGGUGAUCGGCCACACUGGGACUGAGACACGGCCCAGACUCCUACGGGAGGCAGCAGUAGGGAAUCUUCCGCAAUGGACGAAAGUCUGACGGAGCAACGCCGCGUGAGUGAUGAAGGUUUUCGGAUCGUAAAACUCUGUUGUUAGGGAAGAACAAGUACCGUUCGAAUAGGGCGGCACCUUGACGGUACCUAACCAGAAAGCCACGGCUAACUACGUGCCAGCAGCCGCGGUAAUACGUAGGUGGCAAGCGUUGUCCGGAAUUAUUGGGCGUAAAGCGCGCGCAGGCGGUUUCUUAAGUCUGAUGUGAAAGCCCCCGGCUCAACCGGGGAGGGUCAUUGGAAACUGGGGAACUUGAGUGCAGAAGAGGAGAGUGGAAUUCCACGUGUAGCGGUGAAAUGCGUAGAGAUGUGGAGGAACACCAGUGGCGAAGGCGACUCUCUGGUCUGUAACUGACGCUGAGGCGCGAAAGCGUGGGGAGCGAACAGGAUUAGAUACCCUGGUAGUCCACGCCGUAAACGAUGAGUGCUAAGUGUUAGAGGGUUUCCGCCCUUUAGUGCUGCAGCAAACGCAUUAAGCACUCCGCCUGGGGAGUACGGUCGCAAGACUGAAACUCAAAGGAAUUGACGGGGGCCCGCACAAGCGGUGGAGCAUGUGGUUUAAUUCGAAGCAACGCGAAGAACCUUACCAGGUCUUGACAUCCUCUGACAACCCUAGAGAUAGGGCUUUCUCCUUCGGGGGCAGAGUGACAGGUGGUGCAUGGGUGUCGUCAGCUCGUGUCGUGAGAUGUUGGGGUUAAGUCCCGCAACGAGCGCAACCCUUGAUCUAGUGCAGCAUUCAGUUGGGCACCUCUAAGGUGACUGCGUGACAAUGGAGGA
rnacentral:rRNA from 1 species